GGCACUUAACCCUGUAAGUAGCUCUGGAUAAGAGCAUCUGCUAAAUGACUAACA
rfam:Salmo salar isolate Sally breed double haploid chromosome ssa09, whole genome shotgun sequence.